GCGAAAACUUUACAAUGCGGGAAACCGCGAUAAGGGGACACCGAGUGCCAGCAUCCUAUGUUGGCUGUCCACAUGUUUAAAUCACAUGUGUUAGCAAGGGCCGGGCAAGACCGGUGCCAGCCGCCGCGGUAACACCGGCGGCCCGAGUGGUGGCCACUAUUAUUGGGUCUAAAGGGUCCGUAGCCGGUUUGGUCAGUCUUCCGGGAAAUCUGACGGCUCAACCGUUAGGCUUUCGGGGGAUACUACCAGGCUUGGGACCGGGAGAGGUAAGAGGUACUACGGGGGUAGGAGUGAAAUCUUGUAAUCCCUGUGGGACCACCAGUGGCGAAGGCGUCUUACCAGAACGGGUCCGACGGUGAGGGACGAAAGCUGGGGGCACGAACC
rnacentral:rRNA from 1 species